rnacentral:rRNA from 1 species
UACGAAGGGGGCGAGCGUUGUUCGGAAUCACUGGGCGUAAAGGGCGCGUAGGCGGCCCUCCUUGUCGCGUGUGAAAGCCCCGGGCUCAACCUGGGAACUGCAUUUGAGACUGCUCUGCUCGGGUGCGGAAGAGGGAAGCGGAAUUCCCGGUGUAGCGGUGAAAUGCGUAGAUAUCGGAAGGAACACCAGUGGCGAAAGCGGCUUCCUGGUCCGACACCGACGUUCAGGCACGAAAGCGUGGGGAGCAAACAGG